rnacentral:lncRNA from 10 species
GGAGUGGCUCCACCUCACAGCACAUGGGCACCCGGUAGCUCCUUUGAGGGUAAACACUGACGCUUUUCUGAAAGGAGGAUGAGGAUGAGGAAAGAGUUGGCCUAAAUCAGAGCGGCAGGAGGCAAGGAGGAAGAGGAAGGCGGGGGAGAGGGCAUUUGAGAGCAGGCCAGGUCCCUGCACCAUCCCUUGUCCCUGAUGCUUUCCUGGAAUUCUCCAGGGACGGUGCCCAUCACAGGCUGCCAGGAGCAGCCCCACAACUGGGUCCUUCAAUUCCUGCCAUUGAUCCAGCUGUGUGCACGCCGUUAAAUGCU